AAAUUGAAGAGUUUGAUCAUGGCUCAGAUUGAACGCUGGCGGCAGGCCUAACACAUGCAAGUCGAACGGUAACAGGAAGCAGCUUGCUGCUUUGCUGACGAGUGGCGGACGGGUGAGUAAUGUCUGGGAAACUGCCCGAUGGAGGGGGAUAACUACUGGAAACGGUAGCUAAUACCGCAUAACGUCGCAAGACCAAAGAGGGGGACCUUCGGGCCUCUUGCCAUCGGAUGUGCCCAGAUGGGAUUAGCUAGUAGGUGGGGUAAAGGCUCACCUAGGCGACGAUCCCUAGCUGGUCUGAGAGGAUGACCAGCCACACUGGAACUGAGACACGGUCCAGACUCCUACGGGAGGCAGCAGUGGGGAAUAUUGCACAAUGGGCGCAAGCCUGAUGCAGCCAUGCCGCGUGUAUGAAGAAGGCCUUCGGGUUGUAAAGUACUUUCAGCGGGGAGGAAGGGAGUAAAGUUAAUACCUUUGCUCAUUGACGUUACCCGCAGAAGAAGCAC
rnacentral:rRNA from 1 species